UACGGGGGGGGCAAGCGUUGUUCGGAAUUACUGGGCGUAAAGGGCUCGUAGGUGGCCAACUAAGUCAGACGUGAAAUCCCUCGGCUUAACCGGGGAACUGCGUCUGAUACUGGAUGGCUUGAGAUUGGGAGAGGGAUGCGGAAUUCCAGGUGUAGCGGUGAAAUGCGUAGAUAUCUGGAGGAAUACCGGUGGCGAAGGCGGCAUCCUGGACCGACAUUGACGCUGAGGAGCGAAAGCCAGGGGAGCAAACGGG
rnacentral:rRNA from 1 species